ACGCUCGACACCUACGGGAGGUAGCAGUGGGGAAUAUUGCACAAUGGGGGAAACCCGUGAUGCAGCGACGCCGCGUGAAGGAAGAAGUAUCUCGGUAUGUAAACUUCUAUCAGCAGGGAAGAAAAUGACGGUACCUGACUAAGAAGCCCCGGCUAACUACGUGCCAGCAGCCGCGGUAAUCUGAGCGGGCUGGCAAGGC
rnacentral:rRNA from 1 species